rnacentral:rRNA from 1 species
AUACGUAGGGGGCGAGCGUUGUCCGGAAUGAUUGGGCGUAAAGGGCGCGUAGGCGGCCGCUUAAGUCUGGAGUGAAAGUCCUGUUUUCAAGAUGGGAAUUGCUUUGGAUACUGUCGGGCUUGAGUGCAGGAGAGGUAAGUGGAAUUCCCAGUGUAGCGGUGAAAUGCGUAGAGAUUGGGAGGAACACCAGUGGCGAAGGCGACUUACUGGACUGUAACUGACGCUGAGGCGCGAAAGUGUGGGGAGCAAACAGGAUUAGAUACCCUGGUAGUCCACACUGUAAACGAUGAAUGCUAGGUGUAGGGGGUAUCGACCCCUUCUGUGCCGCAGUCAACACAAUAAGCAUUCCGCCUGGGGAGUACGGCCGCAAGGUUGAAACUCAAAGGAAUUGACGGGG